CAGAGAGCUGUUUUAUUAUCUGCCUAAUAGGCAGACCUGCCUGCCAGUCGAAGUUCGGGGCAAACUUCUCCCCUCUGCUAGCGGGACACUCUGAACUCCACACAUAAACCUGACGAAUUGACGAUACCCCCUGGCGACUUGGAGGGGCAAGUAACUCGCUUUAUGUUGCUACAACGGUGUUGCUACGGGAAGACUGAGGCUGCUUCUGGCGUUUAAAUUUCAGACAGGAUAGAACUGAAAUACUUCUCGUAAUAGUGGUUCUGUCCUGGGGAUAUGUCAUCUACGCAACAAGAAUCGCAGCAAAAUGGCAACUGGAAAAAACAUUCAAGACCACAAACUGAACCCUCGAUUUGGAACUGAAUAUAAACACGAAUGAAACUAGAAACUUGUGUCAGAAA